rnacentral:lncRNA from 1 species
CCGGCUGGGAGGUCAGUUGUGCUGUAUUUCUCCUUCUUCCUGCCACAUGGGGUCCUGAGGACAGAAGCCAUGCACUAAAGGCAGUGGAGACGGACAAGGGAGCCUGGGCCCCUGAGCUGAGCCAGGGCUCAGCCAGCCUGGCGCAUUCUUCUGCACUUCUUUGUUUAAACCCUCGUGUGAAAGAUUUGCUGUUAUUUGCAUCUGAAUGCAGCCCUAACUGACGGAGGUGGCUCUCCCUGUGUGGGUACAAGAUGACCCCCGGCGUGUCCCAGCACAUUCAGGAGGAACGUUCUGCCGUCUCAGAAUCCCAGCGGGGCACAGCAGGACAGAAAUGCUUUCUCUUUUUUAAAGGACUUACCAUUCCGUAUUCUGAGCCUCAGUGGCUUAUCUCAUGUCGUGAGUCCCAUUAAGCCAGCCACUUGGACCAGCUCAAUAAAAUGCUCCAAUGGACCAGAC